CGGCGAACGGGUGAGUAACGCGUGAGGAACCUGCCUCAAAGAGGGGGACAACAGUUGGAAACGACUGCUAAUACCGCAUAAGCCCACGACCCGGCAUCGGGUAGAGGGAAAAGGAGCAAUCCGCUUUGAGAUGGCCUCGCGUCCGAUUAGCUAGUUGGUGAGGUAAUGGCCCACCAAGGCGACGAUCGGUAGCCGGACUGAGAGGUUGAACGGCCACAUUGGGACUGAGACACGGCCCAG
rnacentral:rRNA from 1 species